rnacentral:lncRNA from 1 species
UUGCCUAGAAGUGAAAUUGCUGAUGACGUGUAAUGUGUUUCUUCUCUUUUUUGCCCCCAAACCCAUAACAGUACCCUGUAGUAUUUGUAAUUUGCAAAAUUACUUGUGAAAGCCCCCAUGAAUAUUUAAUAAUGUCACAUUUUGUAAUUUUGCCAGUUGAAUGGUUUUAAUUUGUCUUUUCUGAUUAUUAGUGUGGUGAGCAUGUUUUCAUAGAACAUUCAGGUUUUUUUUUUUUGCUGUGAAUUGCUUAAACAUAAUUUUUACCCAUUUCUCUAGUGAGACAUUUAUCUUUUUUCUUAUAGAUUAUACAAAUUCUUUAUAUAUCCUGGAUUCUAUUUUUUUUUUUUUUUUGGUAUUGCAUUGGAAAUAUAUUUUCCUAGGCUGUUUUAUCUUUUUUCUUCUUAAUGAAGGAAAUAAUUUUGUAUCGUUUUUUCAAAUAUGAUAUACACUGUGCUUUGUUAAAAUUGAUUACCUUUUAUUACAUUUUUCCUUUUUCCAUCUUGUUUUGGGAAACCAAUCUUUAUGGUGAAGUCAUAAAAUACUUCUUAUAUUUUUUCUGAAAAUUUUUCACUUGUGCUUUUUUUUUUUUUUUUUUUUUUUUUUUUUUUUUUUGAGAUAGGGUCUCACUGUCUCACCCAGGCUGGAGUGC